rnacentral:rRNA from 1 species
UACGUAGGGUGCAAGCGUUGUCCGGAAUUAUUGGGCGUAAAGAGCUCGUAGGCGGUUUGUUGCGUCGGCUGUGAAAUCCCGAGGCUCAACCUCGGGUCUGCAGUCGAUACGAGCAAACUAGAGUGUUGCAGGGGAGACUGGAAUUCCUGGUGUAGCGGUGAAAUGCGUAGAUAUCUGGAGGAACACCGGUGGCGAAGGCGGCAUCCUGGACCAUUACUGACACUGAAUAGCGAAAGCCAAGGGGAGCAAACGGG